GUCCACGAAGUGUCAAGGGCGCGCAUAUUACCACCGGCUGGCCACAGGAGGGCGCCAUUACCUUUAAAAACUACAGUAUGCGAUACAGAGACAACACGCCCAUAGACCUCAAUAAUCUCCACAUAAACAUUAAGCCAGGGGAAAAGGUCGCAUUGUGGGACCCAAUGGCUCUGGGAAGUCCCCUCUGGGUGUGGCAUUGCUCCGUUUGGCCAAGCCGGCCGAGGUGAUGUGGACAUCUGCAAACUGGGGUUGAGAGAUCUUCGCAACUCUCUGUCAUACCACAGGAUCCUGUACUCUUCAUCAGCACUGUCAGGUGACCUCUCGACUUUUUAUUUUAUUCACAAUAGGUACUCAUUUCACCAGUGCAUCACCUCAAUGAAUUGUGUUUUUGUCUGAAAAUGACUUGAAACUGAAACGGGCAACAGCCAUUGUGAGCUUAUUAAUUUGCAAUUACAAAAAGUUGCAAUUUUGAAAAGUAAAUUAGCAAUUAUCUUUACAAUUACAACCUUAAUCUAAAAUUUUCUAACAAUUUUUGUAUAUUGUAAUCUUGUCAAUUUUGUGGUCAAUAUAGAAAUAGUCACUAUAGUUGGCAUGAACCAGAAAUUGUGACUGAGGUAUAUCAAAGUAAAAUGGCUUCUCAGAUGAAAAAAGAUAGCGCUUGAUUUUGUCCAUCUGGAAUUUAUUUGGAUUGUUGUUGUUUGCUAAUUUCUCUGACCUUUUCAUGUGAGUGACAUGGUUGCUGGACGAGAGCGAUUGAAACUUAUCUGGAUAUUGGACAACUUUUUUGCCCAGCCCUCGCUCCAGUAUACACCUCAUCAGAGAAGAGCAGUGUUACUCUCAGAAAAAAAGAUUGCUAAGAUGCCGGAGAAGUUGCACUCUCCAGUAGUGGAGAAUGGAGAGUAUUUCUCUGUCGGAGAGCGGCAGCUCAUGUGUAUGGCCAGAGCACUGCUUCGCAAUUCAAUAAAUCAACACGGUUUUGGAGAGUGACUGCAUACAAAGUGCUUGAGUUUGAUCGUCCACAGGACCUGGUACAGAGGCCGAACUCUUUAUUUGCAUCACUUCUAGCAGCAGCUAAUCAAGUGAACUCAUGAAGCACUCAGAAACAUUUACAUACUCCUGUAGCCCUGCACCCUGCUGCACAAUUAAACAGCAGAGUCUGCGCCAGAGGAUACAAUAUGGGUGGCAUUUGAUACACAGAACUUUCAAACAUUUAAAAGUAAAUACACAUUGCACUUCUUCAUUUGAAUUUCACAUUCUUAUUGUAAUUUUCCUUGUACAACUUCAGAUGGUUCUGCACAUUUAUGCCGUGUGCUUUUUAUGUCAACUGUGUUAUUUAUAUUUUGUAUCAUACCAUAAAUGAGACUGGAUUUACAAAGCUCUUUACUUGUAGCUGCAGCACUUACAGACUAUGCUUAAAAUUUUCACUGAUUUUUCAUAGGUUCAUCAAAUGUAUAUAUAGUAUUUAUGAUUUUUGUAUGAAAUGGAUAUUAUAUCAAAGGACAACACAUGC